GACGAACGCUGGCGGCGUGCUUAACACAUGCAAGUCGAACGGAAAGGCCCUGCUUUUGUGGGGUGCUCGAGUGGCGAACGGGUGAGUAACACGUGAGUAACCUGCCCUUGACUUUGGGAUAACUUCAGGAAACUGGGGCUAAUACCGGAUAGGAGCUCCUGCUGCAUGGUGGGGGUUGGAAAGUUUCGGCGGUUGGGGAUGGACUCGCGGCUUAUCAGCUUGCUGGUGGGGUAGUGGCUUACCAAGGCUUUGACGGGUAGCCGGCCUGAGAGGGUGACCGGCCACAUUGGGACUGAGAUAAGGCCCAGACUCCUACGGGAGGCAGCAGUGGGGAAUAUUGCACAAUGGGCGGAGGCCUGAUGCAGCAACGCCGCGUGCGGGAUGACGGCCUUCGGGUUGUAAACCGCUUUCGCCUGUGACGAAGCGUGAGUGACGGUAAUGGGUAAAGAAGCACCGGCUAACUACGUG
rnacentral:rRNA from 1 species